GCGUUGCGUAACUGAGAAAAAUUGAUCGAUAGCAUCAGUAUUGUAUCUUCUCCAUACGGAAUCCCGUAGCUAAAACAUUGUGAAAAAUUGUUUAGCUGUUAUCUAAAGUCAAGCCGACAAUGGAGGCACUCUGUUUUCCAAAUUGUUCAAUGUUAAACAGUCGAGGAAUCUUUGAAAAUCAGAAGCUACGAAGAGGAAGCGCAAAAGCUAUUACGCUCGCACUACGUUGAAUGCGAUUACGCAUUCUUUUUUCCUCUCUACUCAUAAAAAAUAUAUGAAAAAAGUGCGCGCAGUGAGAUUCCCUUCGGGAAUGCCGCGUUAAACGAGGGAAUUAAGGGGGCUGAAGGGUGCUCGUGGUUUUUCAUCAUUCUUCAUCUUUUAUUCGAAGGAACACGCGAUUCUCGGGACUCGGACGGAGAUGUCGGUGAUGCCGCGCUCCUAACGCGUAUAAGCGUAACUAGGUAAUCUAGAAAAUUGGCGAAUAAAUUUUGCGAGAAAGCGCGUGCGCUAAUUCAUCCGUAAAAAAAAACUAGCAAAAAUGUACAAAUUAUAUUUUACCGUUACCACAGAUUCAUUUAGAAAUAUGAAAUAUAAACGUAUUUUAUUGUAUUUGAAUAAUUGAAUUUAUAAAAAAAAAUUUAAAUUCUAGUAAAAAUAUCACUUUUCUUGGGAUACACGCGCACAUACAUACACGCGCGCGCGCGCACGCAUCACCGUUCUCGAUGAUAUCGCUUGCAAAACUCGCUAUUCCACAUCGCGAGACUGCAUCAAGCGGAAUAAGUAAUCCAAUCGGAAAGAAAACGGAUCUUUUUGACUAUUUACUUGGAUUCUUAUCACUUCGAGAUUCUCUCGCGCGAGAUUGCGCGAUUUCCUCGGGGAAGAGAUUCAGCGUGCAAAGGGAUCGGUUCAACGCGCGGAACCCUCGUUCUAAUGUUUACCAUUUAUCACGGUGCUCCCGAUUGCCUUUCGGAUGACAAAGGAUCAUGUGUAGCUCCAACUCCUCUCGUCAUUUCUUUACGCGGUACCCCCCUUUUUUUUAUUUUGCGGAAACGCGUGCGUGCUGGCGCAUAACUUCCAGAUGUCGCGUAGGCUUUAUCGCGCGGACACCUGUCCUACUUACAGGCUCGUUAUUAUCGGAGCCUCUUAUCUCGUGCCUCUGCCGAUCUUUUCAAAGUGAAGGAUUACAUGGUCGCGCUACUCGCCAGCACGCUCGACUCGUUUCAGAAUUAAUAAAAGAAAGAAGAUAAGUAUAUAAAAAGGGUGUGUACAUUAGCGUAUUACGUUGAACUCCCCUAUACAAUUCCUUUCACUUUCACACAAGCGCAGACCUAGAUUGUCGAGAAUCUAGAUCGUCGCGUCUGUUGAAAAAUGAAUUUUUUAUGGAAAACGCGUACACUUAACCUUUAAUAGCAAAUCAUGUUCCACUGUUAAUUAGUUUCAGAAAACUCGUACUGUUUUCUUCGUCUUCUUUUUUGCAGAAAGGCAAUCACUUAAAAUCAUGACGAGCCGAUUUUUAUCUGCCCAUUAUCUCAUCGUAUUAUUCAAUAAUCAAUUUUCACACUAGAAAAAUCAUCGCUCGAUUGGACAUUGCACUUCACAGCUGGAUACGCAUCGGGCGGGGUCAUAUCGAAAGUAUCGAAUACCUAUAAUUAAACGUAUAGAAUCAAUUAUACGAUGGGGCUGGAAAAAAAAAGUUGCUGCAUAGUCGAUGAGCUGCCCGGCGCUGUGCGACAUGCACGGCGCACGUACGCACGUACGAAAUAGCAUUUAGUUAGGUCCAGUUAUGGGAUCUCGCUAGAUUAGGGGUUAUUAGGUGUCGGUGUCCCUGUGUUUCGAGCACGGCCCCUCAUAGAGUGCUGUUUAGACCGAGGCGUGUGUGCGCUGUGUUUUUGGUUUCGACGUUUUUGGGCACCGCGGUCCCUGGCAGCCGCGUAACGUGUUAUUACGUGUCUGGCGGUCUAUGGGCAAAGAGAGAGAAGAAGAGGGCACGUGAAAAAAAAGAAGGAUCAGGAGAGGAAGGAACGAGAGCGGGAUGGUGCGUGGAUCCAUCUCGACCACAGCAACAACCCCCUGAGCCAAACUAAAUCGGGGCCCGUUGUGCCCCACGGGCACAGUGCCACCAGUGUCUCUCAAUAAAGAUUAUACAAAUUGCUUAAAGACUUUCGCAAACGAUUGCGAUACGUCUUGUUUAAAAUGCUUCAUCGAUAAAAGGAAAUUGCAGUGAGGCGAGUGAGAUAAUGUUACGAGUUAUGGAAGAUCAAUGUUGAGCUAUAUCCGCAAACAAAUUGGUUACGGAAUCCACUUGACUACCGUGAACAGCCGGACGAAAGUUGAGUACGCAAGAAGGAGAAUUGAGUUGACAACGUCAGUGAUGUAUGUAGGAAUGACCUCGAAGUCCGUGGGCGCGACCCUCCUGCGAAUAUAUCGAGGCCUUUGGACGACAUUACGGUGUUAUAUGCGCGGUGUGCCACGGAGAGACAUUGAUUUAUAUGAGCCGAGAGUCAACGGCUGGUGGAACACCUCAACCUUCCUGGAAUAUCCUUCGGCAGCGAAUCUGCUGUGAGUUUUCCAGGCGAGCCCUUCGAAGAAACAAUUUUUUUCUUCCGCAAGGAAUGAAUCAGCCCGGCUGUUUUUCAUGAAGAAAAAGUAUCAAUUUUUAACAUCUUGGCAGAGUAGCAUUUUUUCUCAAUCAAUAACAUUGAUCGAACAGGAAAAAAAAUUGCAUUGCGUUAGUCGAACUCGACAUUAUAACUUGGGAUGUUUUCUCUGUGAAAGUCGUUGCAAUAAAAAGUUAAUAACAUUUUAUUUACGUCCUCAGAAUCUAUCGCAUUCGACAGCUCACACCAAAAUCGAGUAUCACAUGCUCAAAGGAGUCUCGUGGGCUGAUAAGUCUGGGAGUUAGUUUAGACAGGAAUUCACGUAUCGAUUCGAUUUUGACGGAACGUGGACAUUAUUUAUUUUAACCCCAGCAGUUUGACCGAUCGGGUGGGACGGUGGGUGCAUUCUUACGGGGAGUCACGUAUCCCGGAGGUGGCCGGAGGGAUGACGAUGGAAGGCGAUAUAUUGGCAUACCUAAACCAAAAAGAAUUUCUAACGUGUACGUAUCCUUGUUCAUCGUAGACUUUAUCCUCUUUUCACCCUCCUCAUUUUCUCGAGGCGCACGUCUUUCCGUCUGUCUGUCUUUGCUCGUCGUUGGUCAAACUUCUCGCCGAUGCAACACGCUCAAUUGCGGAUGUCGAGGGUGUGAUAGAUGCCCUUCCGGCGUAGGAAUGCGAGACGAGCCUGAUGGAAUGGAGGAUGACACGUGGCGAAAAUAUCCCGAUUCUGAAAUACCGUCGACUCAAGAAACUCAGCGUAUACAUGCAUUUUUCUGUUAACUAUUCAUGCAAAAUAUCCCUGAAAUGAUAAAAUUUUUUUCAUUUUUAAUCAAGUAUUAAAUACGUUUAAUUUUAA